AGCUUGCUAGAUUGAUGGCGAGUGGCGAACGGGUGAGUAAUACAUCGGAACGUGCCCUGUAGUGGGGGAUAACUAGUCGAAAGAUUAGCUAAUACCGCAUACGACCUGAGGGUGAAAGUGGGGGACCGCAAGGCCUCAUGCUAUAGGAGCGGCCGAUGUCUGAUUAGCUAGUUGGUGGGGUAAAGGCCCACCAAGGCGACGAUCAGUAGCUGGUCUGAGAGGACGAUCAGCCACACUGGGACUGAGACACGGCCCAGACUCCUACGGGAGGCAGCAGUGGGGAAUUUUGGACAAUGGGCGAAAGCCUGAUCCAGCAAUGCCGCGUGUGUGAAGGAGGCCUUCGGGUUGUAAAGCACUUUUGUCCGGAAAGAAAUGGCUCUGGUUAAUACCUGGGGUCGAUGACGGUACCGGAAGAAUAAGGACCGGCUAACUACGUGCCAGCAGCCGCGGUAAUACGUAGGGUCCAAGCGUUAAUCGGAAUUACUGGGCGUAAAGCGUGCGCAGGCGGUUGUGCAAGACCGAUGUGAAAUCCCCGAGCUUAACUUGGGAAUUGCAUUGGUGACUGCACGGCUAGAGUGUGUCAGAGGGGGGUAGAAUUCCACGUGUAGCAGUGAAAUGCGUAGAGAUGUGGAGGAAUACCGAUGGCGAAGGCAGCCCCCUGGGAUAACACUGACGCUCAUGCACGAAAGCGUGGGGAGCAAACAGGAUUAGAUACCCUGGUAGUCCACGCCCUAAACGAUGUCAACUAGUUGUUGGGGAUUCAUUUCCUUAGUAACGUAGCUAACGCGUGAAGUUGACCGCCUGGGGAGUACGGUCGCAAGAUUAAAACUCAAAGGAAUUGACGGGGACCCGCACAAGCGGUGGAUGAUGUGGAUUAAUUCGAUGCAACGCGAAAAACCUUACCUACCCUUGACAUGCCACUAACGAAGCAGAGAUGCAUUAGGUGCUCGAAAGAGAAAGUGGACACAGGUGCUGCAUGGCUGUCGUCAGCUCGUGUCGUGAGAUGUUGGGUUAAGUCCCGCAACGAGCGCAACCCUUGUCUCUAGUUGCUACGAAAGGGCACUCUAGAGAGACUGCCGGUGACAAACCGGAGGAAGGUGGGGAUGACGUCAAGUCCUCAUGGCCCUUAUGGGUAGGGCUUCACACGUCAUACAAUGGUGCAUACAGAGGGUUGCCAAGCCGCGAGGUGGAGCUAAUCCCAGAAAAUGCAUCGUAGUCCGGAUCGUAGUCUGCAACUCGACUACGUGAAGCUGGAAUCGCUAGUAAUCGCGGAUCAGCAUGCCGCGGUGAUACGUUCCCGGGUCUUGUACACACCGCCCGUCACACCAUGGGAGUGGGCUUUACCAGAAGUAGUUAGCCUA
rnacentral:rRNA from 1 species